UAUUCCACAAGGAUAGCGCCGCUCCAAC
rnacentral:sRNA from 1 species